GACCAACAAUUAAAGCAGAAGACCUGCUCCACCUGCUGUUCUACUGGUUGUAACAGAUUGUGGGAAAGGUGAGGACAUGAUGAUGACUUGAUCAGAGAGUCCCCUUCAAUCAUCUGUUAUUUAGACUGAAUGUGUUGACUCUCCAGCAUUUCAAAUUAAAAUUCACCUGUUCAGGGUAAGACGUUGAAUAUUAAAGAAUUUUAGAAACAUUAUAGAAAAUCCAGCGCUGGUUUCUGAUCCCAGAUUCAGAUUCUGCAGAUCAAUAAUGUCUCUGAUCAUCCCACGUUGGAUCUCCUGAACCUGCAAACCUCCACCUUCAACACCAUCAAUCAGGAAGAGGAAGAUAAGAGAACCCAGUUCAGAAAAAAAAAUAAAAAAACAUAUUUUUACCCACCUAACAAUUUAAAAUACGGAUGAAAUUGAGAUCACUGUCAAAACUGUGACAGUAACAUUUCUUCUGUCCAUGUGUAUUCUCUUUAUUUAACCCUGUUGUCUUUUCUCUGUAUUUAAUUUCUCUAUCAACUUAUGUCACACGAUUUGAGCUGCUGAUCUACUGGUUGUAACAGAUUGUGAAGAGGUGACGUCAUGAUGAUGACUUGAUCAGAUACGGUGACCAACAAGUGUAAACGUGCAGCAAACAGUGAAACGAGCUGCAAUCAGCACAUCAUCACUUUGCCCCUCCAUAAGACCUUUAAUAAGGCUGCAGCUUCAAGGAUGAGCUUUUUAGACAUAGACUUGGUAAAACAAAGAUUCUUACACCGUCGCCAUGGAAUAUUAAAGAAUUUCUCAAACUUUCACAACAGAAUCAAGGCAACACUCCAGUGCAGCUACGUUGAAUGAAGAUCAGUCAGAUGACAGACAUGGAAACAUCUUACAAACUGCUGGUUGCUUUCAGUUCUCUGUGAUUGUCGAUGACAAAGAGAAGAUUGUGAAAGACUUCGAACAGUGGUCCAUCAUUUACCACAAUCAUUUCUCUAUUCAAAGAUUCAAGAAUGGCCUUUCAACCCUGGAUUUCAUUUAUGCUUUGGAGCUUCAUGCUUCUGCGUUCAGGCCCUUUAUGUGCGGAAAAGCUGAAAUGUUAGAGGAAAUCUUUGAAGUUCGGCUCAGCGAAAAGGGCAGCACCAGAUGACAAGAGGAAACCAGACUGCUAGGAUUCUCCUGGAGACAGACCAUACCUCGCUUUCCUGUUCAAACACUGUCAAAACACUAAUGCCCAAGACAUACGAUCAGUUUCAAAAAAGACAUGGACUUUGACUCGGUCAUAAACUGUCCCAAUUCCUCCUGGGAGUCUGGGGACCCACAGUCUGUUCUGCCAAACCGAGGAGUAAAAUAUGCACAGGAAAGUUUAGUUUAGUUAUAUAGUAACAUUUCUUCAUUCAACUGUCACUACCAACUGCUAUGACUAUUGUUGAAAACUGUUUAAUAAUGCUUAAUUGUAUUUAUGUCAUCAGAAAUUGUUACAAUAAAAAGUGACAUACUAA